GGGGAUGCAAGGCAUCGAUAAUAAAAUUUUUUAAAAGCGCUCGGGACGUGAGUUUUCAGCAGUCACGAAAAUCACGCUGAAAUUAAAAUAAGUGCAAACAACUUAUUAGCUAAAGUCAAGUACGCGUUUCGCGUUCCGGCUUUAGUGCCUGCCGUAGCUUAACAAAAGCCAUGGCCAUCCGCCCGGCGACUCCUGAUAACCGCAAGCGGGUGUCAUAUUUUCAGGAUAGGUUAAUAGGAUGUUCUUGCCUGUUAUCCAAAAUUAAAAAGAACUAAUCAUUGCCGAUUUUGUUCAGUUUCCACGGCGGUGAUGAAUAAACAAACUGAUCUAUUUCCGUAAAAACGCUUUUAAAAAUUUAUUAGACGCGGGUUCAACUCCCGCCAUCUCCACAU
rnacentral:tmRNA from 1 species